rnacentral:rRNA from 1 species
CCAAUAGCGUAUAUUAAAGUUGUUGCAGUUAAAAAGCUCGUAGUUGAAUUUCGGGGUUAGUAGGCUGGUCGUGCCACUGGUAUGUACUGGUCUCACUGAUUCCUCCUUCCUGAUGAGCUGUAAUGCCAUUAAUUUGGUGUUGCAGGGAAUCUGGACUGUUACUUUGAAAAAAUUAGAGUGUUUAAAGCAGGCUAACGCUUGAAUACAUUAGCAUGGAAUAAUGAAAUAGGACGUUCGAUCCUAUUUUGUUGGUUUCUAGGAUUGACGUAAUGAUUAAUAGGGAUAGUUGGGGGCAUUAGUAUUCAAUUGUCAGAGGUGAAAUUCUUGGAUUUAUUGAAGACUAACUACUGCGAAAGCAUUUGCCAAGGAUGUUUUCAUUAAUCAAGAACGAAAGUUAGGGGAUCGAAGACGAUCAGAUACCGUCGUAGUCUUAACCAUAAACUAUGCCGACUAGGGAUCGGAUGAUGUUAAUUUUUUAAUGACUCAUUCGGCGCCUUAC